GGGGACAACCCGCCGAAAGGCGGGCUAAACCCGCGUACAUGCCACCGGGGCAUCCCGGAGGCAGGAAAGGCUUCGGCCGGACAGGGAUGGGCAUGCGGCGCAUUAGGCAGUAGGCGGGGUAACGGCCCACCUAACCGACGAUGCGUAGGGGUUCUGAGAGGAAGGUCCCCCACACUGGUACUGAGACACGGACCAGACUCCUACGGGAGGCAGCAGUGAGGAAUAUUGGUCAAUGGUCGGGAGACUGAACCAGCCAAGCCGCGUGAGGGAUGAAGGUACAGAGUAUCGUAAACCUCUUUUGUCAGGGAACAAAGGCGGGGACGUGUCCCCGGAUGAGUGUACCUGAAGAAAAAGCAUCGGCUAACUCCGUGCCAGCAGCCGCGGUAAUACGGAGGAUGCGAGCGUUAUCCGGACUUAUUGGGUUUAAAGGGUGCGCAGGCGGUCUGUUAAGUCAGCGGUCAAAGCCCGGGGCUCAACCCCGGCCCGCCGUUGAAACUGGCAGUCUCGAGUUGGAGAGAAGUAUGCGGAAUGCGCGGUGUAGCGGUGAAAUGCAUAGAUAUCGCGCAGAACUCCGAUUGCGAAGGCAGCAUGCCGGCUCCACACUGACGCUGAGGCACGAAAGCGUGGGUAUCGAACAGGAUUAGAUACCCUGGUAGUCCACGCAGUAAACGAUGAA
rnacentral:rRNA from 1 species